rnacentral:lncRNA from 1 species
GCAAAAGUGGCAUUUAUGAAAUGAACUUUUAACAAAACACGUCUUUUGAGUUAAGGGUAGCCAAGGAAUGAUUUGGAGCCCCCCUGCCAGCUCUCUCAGAAGCCCCAUUUCACCUGUUGUUAAAAAAAUUGUUGCCUUUUGGUUUAUCAUUAUUUGAUCAAUGUUAUAUUAAGUUUUGGGCUUUCAAAAUAACAGAAAAUUGAAUGUGUUUGUUCCUCCAGAACUGAGUUGGUGGGUCGGACAGUUGGUGGGUCGGACGGUUGGUGGGUUGGUGGGUCGGACAGUUGGUGGGUCGGACGGUUGGUGGGUUGGUGGGUCGGACGGUUGGUGGGUUGGUGGGUCGGACAGUUGGUGGGUCGGUUGGUUGGUGGGUGGGACGGUUGGUGGGUUGGUGGGUCGGACAGUUGGUGGGUCGGUCGGUUGGUGGGUGGGACGGUUGGUGGGUUGGUGGGUCGGACUACUGAUCCCUUCAGGUUUUAUUCCUGUCUUUCAGAGGUGACUCCAGUGCUGCCACAUUGUAACUGAACGAUUGGUUGUCGGACUCAUUAACUGCGGAGAUGAAUCAUGAAAGUUGGACUGCUGUCCUCAUGGGACCUGAGGGAUGGAGACACCGACGUGGGGGAGUUGGUGUCCUCCCAGAACAACCUCUCACCCCCACCUUUCACCUCACCUCAGGAGACAGAUACAGAGGAAACUGAGCGAUGGAUGAGAGCAAUAAUACAGCAACACUGGGG